rnacentral:rRNA from 1 species
CCUGGCUCAGGACGAACGCUGGCGGCGUGCUUAACACAUGCAAGUCGAACGCUGAAGCAUAGCUUGCUGGGUGGAUGAGUGGCGAACGGGUGAGUAACACGUGAGUAACCUGCCCUCUUCUUUGGGAUAACGCCCGGAAACGGGUGCUAAUACUGGAUAUUCACUGAUUCUCGCAUGGGGGUUGGUGGAAAGGUUUUUUCUGGUGAGGGAUGGGCUCGCGGCCUAUCAGCUUGUUGGUGGGGUGAUGGCCUACCAAGGCUUUGACGGUUAGCCGGCCUGAGAGGGUGACCGGUCACAUUGGGACUGAGAUACGGACCAGACUCCUACGG